rnacentral:rRNA from 1 species
UACGUAGGGUGCAAGCGUUGUCCGGAAUUAUUGGGCGUAAAGAGCUCGUAGGCGGUCUGUCGCGUCUGCUGUGAAAACUCGGGGCUUAACCCCGGGCCUGCAGUGGGUACGGGCAGACUAGAGUGCGGUAGGGGAGACUGGAAUUCCUGGUGUAGCGGUGAAAUGCGCAGAUAUCAGGAGGAACACCGGUGGCGAAGGCGGCAUUCUGGACCAAUACUGACGCUGAGGAGCGAAAGCCAGGGGAGCAAACGGG